rnacentral:lncRNA from 1 species
GCUCAAACGGACACCCCAUUCCAUAGCUGCCUUAAAAAAAUCAGAUUAAAGUUUUCUAUUGAGGAUGUGUGGAGUUUUGUUUCUGGUCUCCAACUGGGCAAUCUCAAAGAAUGGGAUUGUCCCAGAGGAGAAACCCCCGAGAACAUUACCGUCGGCUGCCCAUUUAAGCAGCCGACCGCAUGCCCUGCUGCGCCUGCUGCUAACCAAGAGGAACAGCGGCUUCUUAAAUCCUUGCCUACGAUGGUCCAGCAAGCCCAGACGUCCUGUCGCCUUCUCACCUCCUCUGCUGAGAGCUACAGAUCUUCCGAUGACAGACAAGGAGGGGAUGUGCGAAUGGUGUGGCCAGGGACGUCCAGGUCUUGAUCCUCAGUAA